ensembl:lncRNA
CAGCCACCACUGCUGUCAUGUGAUGAGUCGGCCUCUGUCUGUGUCAGCCAUGGUUGAAAGAAAGCUCAGAUUCACUCACAGAUACAUCACUAUGCAAAGAGUCAAAGCUCUCCCCUUGAUUCUUUGCAGAGAAGAGGAAUAUACAUUUCUGAUGACAUAUGCAUCCGGUGAUAACACCACCAACAGUCAUUAUUUUACCACAUGGAUAAUGGUCAAUCAUUUUCAAGCAAGUUUCGGCAGCCAGAUUAUCCAGAGUUGCAAAGGAGGCAAGAAAUGAUAGAAGGCAAAACGAAGUGUCAGCAUGUCCCAGCGCCUCAGAGACCAGUUCAAGAACUCCCAACAGUUUACUCUACAAACUCAUUAGUGCUCUGAAUCUCUCACCUAACCCUCUGAAACUGCUAAAUGCAGCAGUUUCCAACUCCUACUGUUCUCCUCAUCCUGCCUGUGUUGGGCAGUAGUGCCACUACCUAUAUUGAAGAUGUUAGUCUAAAUACAUUUCUCAGCAACGAGUUGGCUGAGAAUCGCUCAUUUUUCAAUUGUGUGUUUUUUCUGUUUUAUUGAUUAAGAAGUGGGUUAACAGUGUGCUCCUUGCAUCUGGUUUGUUUUUUAACCAUUCUUUUUUUUUUUCAUUAACACGCACACAAAAAAAAAUUACAUGUUUGUUUUCUAGAUCACAUUACAGCUCAAUAUUUUUAUUUCUUAAAAUGAGCAAGCUAUGUUUCCAUGUUGUUUGCAGUGUAACUAGCUAUUUUCUCUAAACAACAGCCUUCAGUUUAGCUAUUUUGAAUGUAGACUGGCUAUUUUUAAGUGUAGAUUAGCUAUGAGUAGCUUACCCAACACUUCUACCUACUCACCUACAGCUACUGUUGUUCCCUAAACUUGUGGGAAAAAAAGAUUUAUGACAGAAACAAUACACUUUAUAAUAUUCUUAAGUUCAAAUGCAAUGUUUUCAGACACUUACAUGUUAAUCACGAAUGAAUCCAUUUUUGUCAAGUAUAUGUUAUUUCUAUUGAAAUGUAUGUAUUUUAAUAUAUUACACACUGUACAUUUGUAAUGAUGAAGUUGCUAUUUAGUACAUUUUCAAUAUAUUAGCUUUACAUGAAAUAUUCAGUUAAAUUUGCACUUAAAUACUUUACACAUUUUAAUAUGUUAGUUAAAAAAUAAGUGUAAUUGACGAGAACAAUAAGAUUAUUUAAAUAUAAUGUACUUAAAAUGUACUUAAAUGUAAAUUAAAAAAUUUGGUAACACUUUAUUUUAAGGUGUCCUUGUUACACGUUAUUGUAACAAGGACACCUUAAAAUAAAGUGUAACUAAAUUUUUAUAUUUUGAUAUUA